rnacentral:rRNA from 1 species
GACGAACGCUGGCGGCGUGCUUAACACAUGCAAGUCGAGCGGAAAGGCGCUGCGUUUGUGGCGUUCUCGAUUGGCGAACGAGUGUGUAACACGUGUGUAACCUGCCCUUGACUUUGGGGGAAAUUUUGGAAAAUCGGGCUAAUACAGCAUAGGAUCUUCUGCUGCAUGGGGUUGGUUGGAAAGUUAUGGCUUUUGUGUGUGUACUCGCUGCUUAUCAGCUUGUUUGUGGGGUAGUGACUUACCCAGGCUUUGACGGGUAGCCGGCCUGAGAGGGUGACAGGCCACAUUGGGACUGAGGGACGGCACCGAUAGCUACGGGAGGGAGCAGUGCGGAAUAUUGAACAAUGGGCGGAAGCCUGAUGCAGAAACGCUGCGUGCGGGAUGACGCUCUUAGGGUUGUAGAACGCUCUCGCAUGUGACGAAGCGUGAGUGACGGUAAUGGGUAAAGAAGCACCCGCUAACUACGUG